rnacentral:rRNA from 1 species
GCUAGUAAUCGCGGAUCAGAAUGCCGCGGUGAAUACGUUCCCGGGUCUUGUACACACCGCCCGUCACACCAUGGGAGUCGGAAAUGCCCGAAGUCUGUGACCCAACCUGAGAGGGGAGGGAGCAGCCGAAGGCAGGUCUGAUGACUGGGGUGAAGUCGUAACAAGGUAAC